CAGAGAUUACUGCUAUCGAGAUUCGACKRRGCUSAKGYKAGUUGWMKGYKMUUCGUGAACRUGGCGGACUGCUCAGUWMCACGUGGACAACCUACCCUUGGGUCCGGCAKRAKCCUGGGAAACUGGGAAUAAUUCCGGAUAGGUCACCGAUGCUGGAAUGCGCGGYGGCCGAAAGCUCCGGCGCCCGARGAUGGGUCUGCGGCCUAUCAGGGUUGUAGUGGGUGUAACGUACCUACUAGCCUACGACGGGUACGGKUUGUGAGAGCAAGAGCCCGGAGAUGGAUUCUGAGACACGAAUCCAGGCCCUACGGGGUGCAGCAGGCGCGAAAACUUUACAAUGCGGGAAACCGUGAUAAGGGGAUCUCGAGUGCCAGCAUAUAAUGUUGGCUGUCCAGAUGCCUAAAAAGCAUCUGUUAGCAAGGGCCGGGCAAGACCGGUGCCAGCCGCCGCGGUAACACCGGCGGCCCGAGUGGUAACCGCUAUUAUUGGGUCUAAAGGGUCUGUAGCCGGCCAGGUAAGUCCCUUGGGAAAUCUGGCAGCUCAACUGUCAGGCUGCUAGGGGAUACUGUUUGGCUUGGGACCGGGAGAGGUGAGAGGUACCUUGGGGGUAGGGGUGAAAUCUUGUGAUCCUCGAGGGACCACCAGUGGCGAAGGCGUCUCACCAGAACGGGUCCGACGGUAAGGGACGAAAGCUAGGGGCACGAACCGGAUUAGAUACCCGGGUAGUCCUAGCCGUAAACGAUGCUCGMUAGGUGUCAGUCACGGUGCGACCGUGAUUGGUGCCGUAGGGAAGCCGUGAAGCGAGCCACCUGGGAAGUAUGGCCGCAAGGCUGAMACUYAAAGGAAUUGSSSGSSSMSCASUWCMACGGGUGGAGCCUGCGGUUUAAUUG
rnacentral:rRNA from 1 species